GAUGAACGCUGGCGGCGUGCCUAAUACAUGCAAGUCGAACGCGCAGCGAAAGGUGCUUGCACCUUUCAAGCGAGUGGCGAACGGGUGAGUAACACGUGGAUAACCUGCCUCAAGGCUGGGGAUAACAUUUGGAAACAGAUGCUAAUACCGAAUAAAACUUAGUAUCGCAUGAUACAAAGUUAAAAGGCGCUACGGCGUCACCUAGAGAUGGAUCCGCGGUGCGUUAGUUAGUUGGUGGGGUAAAGGCUUACCAAGACGAUGAUGCAUAGCCGAGUUGAGGGACUGAUCGGCCACAUUGGGACUGAGACUCGGCCCAAACUCCUACGGGAGGCUGCAGUAGGGAAUCUUCCACAAUGGGCGCAAGCCUGAUGGAGCAACGCCGCGUGUGUGAUGAAGGCUUUCGGGUCGUAAAGCACUGUUGUAUGGGAAGAAAUGCUAAAAUAGGGAAUGAUUUUAGUUUGACGGUACCGGAAGAAUAAGGACCGGCUAACUACGUGCCAGCAGCCGCCGCCG
rnacentral:rRNA from 1 species